rnacentral:rRNA from 1 species
CCGAAUACGUCUUUUCAUCGCAUGGUGAGGAAGAAGAAAAAGGACGGCCUCUACACAAAGCGGUCGCCGAAGGAGGGGUUUUGCGUCUGAUUAGCUAGUUGGAGGGGUAACGGCCCAACAAGGCGACGAUCAGUAGCCGGUCUGAGAGGAUGAACGGCCACAUUGGGACUGAGACACGGCCCAGACUCCUACGGGAGGCAGCAGUGGGGAAUCUUCCGCAAUGGACGAAAGUCUGACGGAGCAACGCCGCGUGAGUGAAGACGGUCUUCGGAUUGUAAAGCUCUGUUAUACGGGACGAACGGCAAGGUGGUAAAUAGCCAUCAUGAGUGACGGUACCGUAAGAGAAAGCCACGGCUAACUACGUGCCAGCAGCCGCGGUAAAU